rnacentral:misc_RNA from 1 species
GAUGAAGAACGCAGCGAAAUGCGAUAAGUAAUGUGAAUUGCAGAAUUCAGUGAAUCAUCGAAUCUUUGAACGCACCUUGCACCCUUUGGUAUUCCGAAGGGUAUGCUCGUUUGAGUGUCAUUGUACUCUCACACUCCCAAUUGCUUUGGAUUGGGAGCGGUGGACUUGGGUGUUGCUGCUUGACUGAGGCUCACCUGAAAUAUGUUAGUGCACCUCUUGAUUGGACAUAGUACGGCGUGAUAAGUGUCUUCGCCGGCUCCUCGCAAAGAGGGUGGCCGAUCGGGAGCUCUGUUGCUUCAAACUGUCUUCGGACAAUCUUCUGGCGACUUGACCUCAAAUCGAGUAGGACUACCCGCUGAACUUAAGCAUAUCAAUAAGCGGAGGA